rnacentral:tRNA from 1 species
UCCCAGGUGGCUCAGUGGUAAAGAAUUUGCUUGCCAAUGCAGGGGUCAGGGUUCAAUCCCUUGUCUGGGAA